rnacentral:rRNA from 1 species
UACGUAGGGUGCGAGCGUUGUCCGGAAUUAUUGGGCGUAAAGGGCUCGUAGGCGGUCUGUUGCGUCAGGAGUGAAAAACUCGGGGCUUAACCCCCGAGCCUGCUUCUGAUACGGGCAGACUAGAGGUAUGCAGGGGGAGAACGGAAUUCCUGGUGUAGCGGUGAAAUGCGCAGAUAUCAGGAGGAACACCGGUGGCGAAGGCGGAUCUCUGGGCCAUACUGACGCUGAGGAGCGAAAGCGGGUGGGAGAAACAGG